rnacentral:rRNA from 1 species
ACUUUGAGAGAGAGUUCAAGAGUACGUGAAACCGUUAAGAGCCAAACGGGUGGGACCUCGAAGGUCGAACCGAGGGGAUUCAGCUCGUCGGCCAAAGCCGGCUGGGCGGCGGGAUUCGCUGAGGCGACCCAGGAACUCUUGGGCGUGCCCACGUUCAAGCCGGCGCCGGCGGGCGUAUUUCCCCUCGUGAUGUAGGUCGCCGCGACCCGUUGCUGGGGACGUCGAAGGCCCAGGUGGAUUGGUACCCCGACGUCUGCGUUUACGCGGUCGAAGGGGGAAACCUCUGGUGUCCUGGCAGCCCUGCGACGGUCGUGCAGCAGAGGGCUCGUCCCUCUCGCGGCGUGCAAAAGGUCGGUGACCCACCCG